UAGUAUACCCUUACACGUAAUACAGUAAACUGCAACUUUACCAAAGCCACUCAGGCCAGGGCUUGCUAC
rnacentral:tRNA from 1 species